rnacentral:rRNA from 1 species
CCUACGGGUGGCUGCAGUGGGGAAUAUUGGACAAUGGGCGAAAGCCUGAUCCAGCCAUGCCGCGUGUGUGAAGAAGGCCUUCGGGUUGUAAAGCACUUUCAGUGGGGAAGAAAGCCUUGGGGCUAAUACCCUCGAGGAAGGACAUCACCCACAGAAGAAGCACCGGCUAACUCCGUGCCAGCAGCCGCGGUAAUACGGAGGGUGCGAGCGUUAAUCGGAAUUACUGGGCGUAAAGCGCGCGUAGGCGGUCUUAUAAGCCGGUUGUGAAAGCCCCGGGCUCAACCUGGGAACGGCAUCCGGAACUGUCAGGCUAGAGUGCAGGAGAGGAAGGUAGAAUUCCCUGUGUAGCGGUGAAAUGCGUAGAGAUCGGGAGGAAUACCAGUGGCGAAGGCGGCCUUCUGGACUGACACUGACGCUGAGGUGCGAAAGCGUGGGUAGCAAACAGGAUUAGAUACCCCAGUAGUC